ncrna:unclassified sequences eL15-Euryarchaeota ribosomal protein leader
CCUGUCUGUACAGGUCGGGAUGUGGCCCGCGAGGGCUGAACCAGGCA